rnacentral:tRNA from 1 species
UGGGGAAUAGCCCAGUGGUAGAGUGCAUGCCUAGCAUGCACAAGAUCCUGGGUUCAAUCCCCAAUACCUCCA